UCUCCUGGGAGGAGGAAGACCGGGUUAGUGGGGAGGCAGGGUCCAGCCUGUACCCUUCCAGGGGCACGUUCGGAUACUUGCGGCGGCAGACGUCGGCCAGAGCCCUCCCGGCACAGAUCCCAGGUUGGGAAGCAGCCAGAGAGGCCCAGGGCAGCAGCUUCCUGUGAUGGAGCAUCUUCAGGCCCUGAUGGGAGUCAAACACCCACGAAGAAACCCAUGCUUGGCUCUGAACCUCCAGAGCACCCUCACGGCCCCAGGGAAGGCGACAGUGCCUACGUGGGCCUGUUCUAGCCCCUGCACUGGGGGCCCCCAAGGGCAGGACCUUGUGUCAUCCACCGCACCCUGCACAGACCAGUCAUUCAAGAAUCCUGAUUCAACGUGGCCGGAGACCUACUACGUGCCAGGCAGCACGCUGGGUACCAAUGCCAGCAAAGGACUGAGUCUCUGCCCUCAGAGGGCUGAGGGCCUCAUGGGGGGACAGGUGAGCAUGCCUCCCGACGUGCAGUUUGGUAAGUGCCAAGACAAGCGAGGGAGAGCAGGGCAGUAAGAAAGAAGGGUGCCAGAAUCAGCCGGGUGUGUCAGGGGCAAGCAGGAGGACUUCCUGGAAGUGAGGCUUGAAGACUGAGAUGCUGAGAACAUCCUGUCCGAGGGAGCCGCAUACACAAGGCACAGAGACCUGAGGACCCCGGGUUCAGGGACCUGCAGCUCCAGAGAGCCGAGUUGUUGUGACACAGAACAUACAGCCUGCAAAGCUGAAAAAGGCUCUUCUGGCCCUUUCCAGAAAACGUCUGCCGACCCCCGUUUUGCACCACGAAGGGCCUCGUGUGCCAGGCAAGGAAUGGGGCGCUCCUUCCCGAAAGCUGCAGGGCACAGGGGUGUGACACGGCAGGGCAGGGCGACCAGUUAGCAGUCGCCCUGGCAGAGUGGGGCCUGGGGACCGCUUGCACCAAGCAGGCAGGACAGGCCCGUGGCUUCGGCCUCUGGGUGGAAGGUGCCCGUCUGUGAAGUCAGGAACAGAGGCGGAGAGACGCGAGGGGACAGACGGGCUGGUUUGGGACGUGCUGCAGGCAGACACUGAGCCAGCUUGGGGGGCUGGGAGAUGGGGCAGGAGACAGCCCCUGGGAGGGGGUGAAGCCAGACAGAGAAGCCUAGGCAGGGCACCGCAUCGGCAAGGCUGCACGACCCCGUGCCCCAAGAUGGGAGGCAGGUGGUGAUGGGUCUGGUGAAGGACGGUGGGGGAGAAACUUGAGCUUGCGGCUCAAGCUGAGGUUUGCGGGGGUACGGCAAGUGUGGCUAAGGGGAGGCUGAGGCCUAUGGGGCGAGGCAGCAAAGCUGAGGUCGGCCUAGGAGAAGUGGGGGUGGGAGGUGGGCAACAGGCGGGGACAGAGAGGCACGGCUGGGCCUGCCCCCCGUGCUGGAGUGGUUCUGGGGGGCCAGGCCACGUACUGCAGAGCUCGGCCGACGGACAGGGCGGAGCACGGCGGGAGGGGCAGGGGGGUCCAGCAGUACUGUGUCUAGCCUGCCAGCUACAGGAGCUACCUGGGUGCAGGGGUGGCCAGGAAACCAAGAGCGGCUGCCUGUGUCCUCUGCGUCUGGGGCCGGUCCAGAGGAACAGAGGCUGCGGGCCCCAGACCUCGGCAGGGACGCCAGCCUGGUGGGAACAGGAGCGGGGGGCCUCGCCUCCCACCGAGGGUCUGCGAGGGUCGGGGGGCCCUGCGGGCUCCUGUUCUCGGCUGUGUCCCGUGGACCCUGAGGCCAGAGAACCCAGCUCUGUUUGAAACACGCCUUCUCUGGGGCAGGAGAACCGAAGUGUGGAGGUUCUGCUCCUCUCCUCUGGGUGAGGCGGCCAAGAGGCCCCCAAGGGCCCGGGCCCGUGCCCCCCGGAAGCCAGAGGGCUGGGGCCUCCCGCACCAGCUCCGGAAGAAGACAGCUCUGCGGUAGCGACAGCUCCCCUUCUGCUCCCCCGACGGUCUGCAGACCAGAGCCCCCACCUGCUCACCCCUGCGCCACAGGAGGUCCCUCUCCCCUCUCCCUCCUGUGGCCAGGCACAGGGUGACGACCAGGCGAGUGGCCCUCAGCCCAGCGUGAAGUGCCACAGCGGUUACUACCAGUCUCCCAUUUCCACAGCUACGUCGCUCCCGCUGCUAACAGCCCCGCGAGGGGCACCGUCGCAGAGGAAUGAGGGGCCGGAGCCCGGGGGUAGCCCCUGUGCCCCCUGCCCGCGUGUGGGGACGGGCCUUCGGAAACUGAACUAAGGCCACACACCGAGGAGCAAGCGCUCAGCUUGGGAAGGACAGGAGCCACUAGGAGGGGUUUCCAGACAAGCCGGAGGCCUGGGCCCUGCCAGCCCUCAGGGCGGCCUAGGCGGGGAGCUGCCGGAGUCUGGAGGGGACAAGGCGGCGAGUGCCGGGGCAGGAACCCGGGCUGGCGGGACGGGAGGGUGUGGCGACGUCAAGAGCUUGGGCUCCGGGUCCCACAGCCCAGCUCAGACCCCUGCCCUGCCGCGGACUGGCUGUGUGAUCCCGGGCAACAGUUAGCCGUCGGGAAAGCAGGAAGACGAAGUGACUCCUCACCGUAGGGCACUGAGAACAGGCCUGCAUACAGCAAGUGCUCAGUAUGGUGCAGCUGUUCUGUCACCUGAGGAGAAGUGUCACUGAGGGUGUGGGGACAGCAGGUGCCUCAGGAAGAUGAGGCCUAAAAUCCUUUGCGUUUCAAAGGCUGGCCACAGGUUUAUUAUAGGUUAAGAGCCCCAGGAGGUAUCCAGGGUGAGCAGAGAGUCCUUGGGGUCACUCGACCAGGCCGAGGAACCCUGUCUGGUCCGGGCACAAGGAUGAAGGGGAGACAAAGACAGGUCCCGCCGUCCAUGAUGUCUCAGCCUUGCUCUCUCUCUGUCCCUCCAUGCCCUCCCUGACCCCGCCACCCGCGCAUGCAGGUGCUCGCUAAGGGGAGGAAGAGGCAGAUGUGUGAGGAGUGGGGGAGGGCCCGCCAGCCCGGGGAAGAGGACACUCAGGUGUGUGCACAGGCAGGGGUCGCGGGACACCAAGGAUUAGGAGAGUCGCAGCGACCUGUGCUGGGCUCCCAGCCAACCGGCCUAUGCAGCCCUAGCAGCCAGCACCCAGAGGGUCAGACCCCAGCCCAGAGCCCUGUCCCUCCAGAAGAGCCUCUCUGGGCUCCCUGGGAACCAAUCCAGCGCUGCGAGGUGCUCCAUGCCCCUGACCACAGUCCUAAUUUCCCUGAAACACAGCCAGGCCUCUACAGGGGUGCAGGACCACCCAGAGCAGCCGAGGGAUGUGGCUUGGUCUCCCCAGCAUAGAGGCUCUUCCUAAAAUAGCAACUCCCACUCUUCCUAAAAUAGCAACUACUAUAUGUUUCGGGAGUCAUAAGAAUGUUCCGAGCCUCUGACCCAUUAAUGGCUCUCCUGGGGAUUUUUCCAACAGAAAUAAUCCAUGAGAAGUAAAAAGACAUACAUGCCAGAAGAACUUCAAUGAACAUCAUUCACAUUUGUGGAAAAGACUGGAAGGCCCAAAUGCCCAGCAAGUGGCUCAUUCGACUAGGACACAUCCUUUGGACAAACCUCAUAGAAACGAUCAUAAUGACAAGUGCCGUGAUGAGAACGUGACCAAAGAGAAAGAGCCAACACCGUAUCCUGAGAAGGGGACGGCAGACCCACGCGCGCCCCUGAAUCACGGCAGAAGAGUAUGUGCGAGAGGGAACAGGGUAAUCUGACCUGGCGAAUGGAAUCCCGAGAAAACGGGUUAUGUUUUUCAAAAUUGCUAUAUGGUUAUGCUGCUGCUUUUUUAAACAUACUUUUUGAACUGGAAAUAAACACAAAACUUCCCUUGCUAUGACCCUAACCCUGGUAAUGACCAGAUUUCUUAGAAAGGGAAGGGCCCUGCCAGUCCGCCAGGCUCGCUCCGGACUCCCACGUCCACCUGGAUGAAAGCCGAGGAAGGAGACUGAUGGCCAGGUCCGAAGCCAGGAGGGGACCCCCGCCCCACAGCACAAGAGGGAGGUGGCAGGGGUCUUCUCCAGGAGCCAAGUGACAGAACCAUCACCCUGGCCUCGUUUCUUUCUCUAGUUCUCAAGUAUCGCCACUCACCAGGCAAAUGGACGCUACUGGCCAGGAUCCACACUGUCCCCCUUCUUUGCUAAAACUUCCUCCCCUGCCCUGUUAUUUUCAUGCAUGUGUAAUACGGCCUCCAUUUUGCAGGCGACCAAACCAAAGCAUGGAGGGGGUAAGCGGUUUAGUUUAUCCCAGGUUCCUCAGAGUUAGCGACAGACCCAGAACUAGAACCCAGGGCUCUUGGACCGAAAGUACAGGUGGGACUUCCUUGUUCACCAAAGGAUGUGCUUCUGACACAGCAAUUCUCUCAUCCACACUGGAUGCUGUUCUGCUGCAAAUGUGAAGGAACAUGAAGUGCCCAAAUCCUCCCUAGGAAGGACCUAACGAGGCUGCUCUAGAAACACCUGUGAGGACUCUCCCAGUGGGUGAGCCCACCCGAACGUCCUUUCUGUGCUGCCCCCAGUGCUUGUGGAGUUGAGCUGGGACAUCCAGCUACUCCUGAUGAGGGUCCUCCUUGCAGAAGCGGACCCAGCUGAGACCUCUGUGGCUGCCUCAGUGUGGUGGCCUCAGGGAGGGCAGGCCAGGGCUGGUGGCAGAUACUGGCAUUCCUUCUGAUGGGUCAGCAGAGGACAGGAGAGAGGUGCUACUGAGGGAGACUCCUGGCUCUCUAGGACAGACCCUGGGCAGGCCACAGUGACCUCCCUCAGCCGCCAUACCCCCUCCUCACAGGCUGAGGGGAGGAGAAAGGGGCCAACGCUGCGAGGCCCGGUCUCAGCGACUGGCAGUGGACCCUGAGUAACCCACAGGGCCAAAGGUGAGGGCUCGGAGAUGCUGAGUCACCCCAAAGCUGUGACAGAGGCCAGCUAUGCUGGCCCCAGAAGGCCUCCCCCAUGGCAUAUGCGCAGCGUGAGGCCACCAACUGCCCACAAGGGGCCUAGUAUGGUUAACAGGGGAAACGUGCAUCGUUUGACCCCGCUACGGGGAGGAGCAGAAAUCUGUGGCGAGUCCGGGGACAUCUCAGCCCAUCCCUCAGGACCUCGGGCCCCACAGCCCAGUCUGGCCCUCGGAGUGGCAGCCUCAGCCUCACCUGAGGCCCGUUCCUCAUGAGGCCCAGAUACCCUCAGGUAACUCGCGACCACAUUAAAGUUUGGAAGCGCCCCUUUAGGAGCAUUCGAGAAGACGGAUUUCCUCAAGGCAACAGUUCACUAGGCCCUCGUUGGGGCGUGACCACAAGGCGCAGGAGCCUGAGGCCAGGCGUCAGAGGUGGGCUGAGAGGCUGGGAACGCACCCAGAGAAGCGCAGCCUCCACAGUGACAUGGGAGCAACCGUCAGGCCUGAGGGUACGUGGAAAAGGGAUGGCGCUUGCUCCGGAGGUUCCCACGAGAGGAAGCUAGCGAGAGAAGGCUUUGGGGAACAGACUGGCUUCUAGAGCAGGAAAAAUGUUCUAAGAGUCAAAGCAGUUCAAACAAAGAAUGUGCUGCGCUGAGAGCUAGUGAGCUCAGGUCCUGGACGCUGGGUGAGGAGGUGACAGGAGGGAGUCCACCACAGGAUGGGAACCUGCCAGACUUGCCAAGCCGAGGCCUGGGGCCCUGCCACAUGGGUCCAUGCAGAGAGAUGGAGAAGGUGGGGAAGCUGCCUCACGUGGUCUCUCCCAGCCCUGCAGUGCUUUGAUGGCUAGCCUAAAAAUACACACCUAGUCAAGGCCUUGACCCUCUCUGGGAAAAGAACCAAAUGAGGCAAAGGAAAGAACAAGCCCUGAAAGUUUCUAGUAGGCUUUCUGGGUAGAGCAAAAAAGCGACCCAGAUCCCAGGGAGAAGCACCGGAAGCCCGCCCUGGGGGCUGUGCAGAGGUGGGGCGGGGGUGGGGACUGGCUGGGGUGCAGCGUGCGUCCCGGGCCCGGGCAGGGAUUUGUAAACAGGUAUUUGCCACACUGCUCAGGUGGGCUGUAAGCCCCUGACCAGGGCAGGCUGUCCGCAUGGCCUCCACCAGGCUCUGGGAAGGAACCAAUCAAGCCCCCUUCUCCUCAGCACUGACUCAGGCCAGGCCUUGCCUUUGUACGGCUCAGGACUGAGACAGAAGCAGGAGGCCCGCACUGCUCCCGGGGGCCCUGACGGGGCAUUCAGGAGUUCGUUACAGGCAGUGGCCAGCAGGGAUUUGGAUACAUGAGCUUGGCUGAUGAGAAGCUAAGUUUCUACAACAUCCUUGUAAAGGGGCGGUGGGGGGCGGGGGGGGGGGGGGGGAGACUUAAAAUGGAGAGAGAAAUCAGCAGUGCCCAGGUAGCUGGGUGGGUGGGUGGCGUCUGCACGAAGCAAGCCUGUAGUCUGUUUGCAUGCCGUGUCCUCGUGCGUGCCUGAGUGUGUCCUCUGCACGUCCCGUGGGUACGUACACACACACACGCACAUACACACAUCACUACAGCCCAUCACAGGCUGUGAGCAGAUGCACAGCUGUCCCCAAACACAUCUGCUCUGGGCCUGAUUUCUCCAGAUUCUUGGAGCUUCCAGGCCACUUGAAAGCCAAAACAAAGGUCCAAGGACCACAGCAGGUGCCUGACCAGCUGAGCAGAGGAGGCAGCAGAAGGAAGGAAACGAGGAGCAGGAGGACCUGGCCCGCCGGCCCUGGGAGGUCAGAGCCCACACAGCUCGCCUCUCCCUGAUGAAGAGGGCAAAGGGCCACGGCACGUGCAAUCGGGGAACUGUGCUGCCAUGUGCCUGGGGAGGGCAGCCACCGUCUACACGGGGGACCAGCACGGGCUGCCCCAUCCAAAGACAUGGUUACUGCCUCGCUAAGAACAGUCACUGGUCGUCUCUGCAAGGCCCCAGGCUAAAUGCUGGGAAGGUCAAAGGUAAACAGUACUCCCGAGAGGUCUGACGGCCAGGGCACUCAGGUCACCUGGGAAGUGCCUGGUCUCAUGGGGCAGGAGUGCUUUGCUGUCUUCAGCCAAGGGCUGUGGGCAUUCCCAGGGAGCUCAAAGGCCGGCCUCUCUUCGAACAAGCCCCUCCGAUGUGAAAACGGACUCCGAGCCCGCAUCCCCAGAGUCUCUCAAGUUGUCAGCUCCGAGAAGGAAGCAGGCUCAUAAUCUUGGCAUGGCGGCCACCAUCAGGCCGUAUCAUCUGGGACAGUGCAGAAAUCACACAGACCCAGGGGCAGCCCAGAACUCUGACCCUGCUACAGGGGGAGAGGGGACACUUGCCUGGACUCCUGUACGGUCUCCAGAGACAGGGGCCACCGUGCAGGCCAAGGGGACUGCCGUCUCAGGAGACCACACUUUGGGCCCGAAGACGGCCGUGUGUUUGUUGUCUCCAGCCCUCCCCCAGUGUGCUUGGCACAGAGCAGGUGCUCCCGAGAGGUUUGGCGAGAUAAUGAGCUGUCAACUAGGAGCGGUGGCCCAAGGGACCAGCCAUCGCCCUCUAGAACAGCACUGUUAGAACUUCCUGCAAUCAAACAAACGCUCUGUGGUCUACGCUGUCCGAGAUGGUCCCACGAGCCCCUUGUAGCUACUGGGCACAGGAGACGUGGCUAGUACGACAGACGCGCUAAUGCUUAAUUUUUAAAUUUUUAUUAAUUUAAAAGUACAUGGCCACAUAUAACCAGCGGCUACCGUAUCAGAGCAGUUCUAGAACACUGUAGCAAGUAAGUGCGGCUUACGGGCCAACCCAGGGUAACAGAGCCGCUGCCUAGAGAAGGAUGCCGAGGCCACAUCAGUGAUCAGUGGGCAAGACCUGCCGUGUCGGCGGUGGGAGCCCAACCACGGGCUUCCGCCCCUGCUCAACCCACCCCAGGCGUGAAGGUUCCAGCGGGUUCGACAGACCAGCUCUCCACCUGUGAGGGUCGCUGGUGGUUUGGGUUUGCUCCCCUAUGCCUCCUCCCCGUGGAGCAGUAAAUCUCACCAGUGCUUUUCCCAAAUGCAGCUCCCACCUUCCUUUACUCUCUGGGCCUCUGCUCGGCCCCACCCCAGUUCUGGCUGGGCUCCCGACCCCAGUCCCUCCCACGCGAGGGAUGAGCGCCGGGCGCUCUGGGAAGGACCUGCCACGUGUCCCUCUCCACCUCUGCACUCAGCCCUCCCUAACCCACCCCUGCCCUCACCGCCUACUGUCUUUGAGGAGAAGUGAUAAGUGUUCCUCAGGAGCCGUCUGGUUGCCAGCUUUCGCUGGACUCCCCAGCUUGAGGCCCUUGUCCUACAGGACCCACCAUCGUCACCGCUGGAGGGCCCCUCCAGAGUGUGCAAAUGCUGGCCCAGCCCAGGAAGCCUGCCAGACACACAGGUAGGGCACAGGAUGAGAUGUGUCCCCUCAACUCUCCUCAUGGAUGUCGGUAAGAAAGACUCUCCACCCCCCACCAAACCUGUGCUCUCACCAUCCUCUCCUCUCGACGGCCUCCCGGCCCAAAUCCCGACAGCCAUCGUGGACUCUCCACUCUCCCCCCUCCCAUGCCACUCAGCAGUGAAUCCUGUUAGCUCUACCUUCAAAAAACACCUGGAAUCAUUCCUUUCAUCACCUCCAUCCUGGUCUGAGCCACUAUCCUCUCUCCCGAAAAUGACUGCAUCACUUCAAAUUGGUCUCCCUGCUUCCACUGCUCUCUCUUCUCCACCAGCAGCCACACUGAUCUUUUAAAACCUCCCACCCUCCAAUGCCUCCGGGGAAAAGCCAUGGUCCUUACAAGGCCCUGCAGGACCUGACACCCACCACCUCCCUGCCUCACCUCCCUCUUGAGCCCUGUGUUGUAUCUUUCCGUUUUCCAAGGCAGUCAGAAAUACAAGUUUUUAUAGAGAACGCCCAAAUUUCUAAGUAUUAGAAAUGUUUCAAACUCCGGACAGGUCAAAGGAAGCAGAUCCCCACAGGCCGGGUGUGGUCCAGAGACUACCCAACAGAAGUAGGGUAGGUCGGCUGGGGUGGGGUGGGGGGGCGCGCCAACUCUUCUCCGCUGGGUUUUCGGAGAUGAUUCAAGGAGAUAAUCCAGUAAAAACGCAGCCCAGGGCUCCACACGAAGUAACUGUCUGAUAAACUACCCCCUGACGAAACCAAACGUCAGUCCUCUGGCCAGAGAGAGGGCGGGACGCUCCACAAUCCCGGCCACACUGGUCAGGGACAGCAGUCGCUAAAACCGGGGGUACACAUGCUGCGGGGGGGAUGUGGCUCUGACCCCCCAGGGCCCAGGAGGGCCGCAGCUCGGAAGCCACACAGCCCAGACACAGUCCUGUCACCACCAGCAGCGCCUGGGGCUACCUGAUGCAGCAGACGCCCUCCCACCGCCAGGAGCCCUCCAAGGCUCUGGAACAACCUGUCCUCUGUGGGCUCAUCACCUGCGUUAUCUAAAACGUGGCUUGGUUCUGCUAAAUCCUGAAACGCUCGAAUGAGGAACAUUUUGUGAAAUCCAGGAGGUGGGGGCUGGAACCCACAGAAGCACGAAUCCCUGCUUCACGCCACGGGAAAUUAGCCUUCUGGCUUUUCUCAAACCAAGAUGCGCUCGAGGCUAAAAUACAACUUAAAAAUAUCAGAUACACUGGCGAGUGGGUCCAUGAGGACGUUAAGGUAGCAAGAAGAUUUCGAGGCCCGUGUCGGGGAGCGGGGCCCUCUGUGGCUGUCUAGUGGACGACGGGCCUGUCCCACCCACACCAGGUGCUGACGGUGCAAGAGCCUGGCCCCAGGCCCCCACUCGAGGAGCAAGACGCAGAGCCGCCACGGCUCAGUGGGGCCAUGUUCGUCCCACUCCACACCUGCCUCCCCUCCCCCCGUGGCUCCCCAGGAGGCAGGUCCCCAGCCCCGAUCUCACUGUUGCCAGGACAAGAGCGGACACUUUAAGGAUGGACACCAGAAGCCCGACCCCAGGGCAAGACGUAGCUGGUCUCUGUGUGUGUGUCUUUCUCGCUCUGUGUCUGUGUGUCUGUCUCUCUGUGUGAAGGCUGUGUGACUUUCCUCUCCCCCACCAACCUCUCGUGAGAACAGGGUGCAGGGGUGAGAUUACUCUCUGCCUCACCCUCGGGGCCAAAGGCGUGGGCAGAAGUCAGCGAGGAGGGCCACUCAAGAAGACAAGGAACAGCUGACCUUAUGAAAGGACAGCACUCCCGAGUCCCAAGUUCUGGGGCUCCCAGGGGAGAAGUCUGUGACUCUCAUGGUAAUGGAUGGUUCUUCCUUCCAAGACCUCAAGGGCAGAAGGCCACCCACCUGGGGAAAGACUCCAGCAUGAAGAAGAAACAUCAUCCCCCGGUCAUGGUGACCCUGGGUAUUGGGUUUAAGUAGAAGGAAAGGCAGAGAGAAGGGGCUCUUCUGUCCUGCACAUCCCCCCAGGAGCUACAUGGAAAACCACCCAGACAAAGAGGACCUGGCCCUCACUGAGGCCUUCGGAUGCUUCUCUGACCUAGAAUCAACUCUGCACAGUCAGCCGUCGGCUCUCCCUCCUCACCUCUGACGGGGACUGGGGGCAGCCCUCUCUUCCCUGAAAAAGGACAGGCCAGCCCGUCUAAUAGAAUGCAGUUUAAAGGAAGCACUGGCCUCUGCCACAGCCUUUCAUCCCUCCAUCCCCCCCGGCGUCCUCCUUCAACCACGGCCCCCUCCCUGGGAAGUUAAUUCUGAGUGUGAGAUCCAGAGCAGCUCAGAAUUCUGUCGUUUGUACCUGGUGACAGGUAUGUGCUGCGCGGAUUUCCCGUCGGCCCGCUGUUGCCAGGCCGCAGUUGGGGCACUUAGCAACCCUCGAGGUCCCCAACUACACCCUGGAGUAUGGCACAUGCGAAUAAAGAAAAACGACGCCAGUUCUCCAGACCUCUGGGCUCCCUGCUCUACCCUAACAAGCCCCUGGAGCUGGGGAGGCUAGAGAGAGGCCCCAAGUCCCCCCUGAUGGCCCCAUAUCACAGGCAGAUGCCGGGGACUGCCUACAAAGUGAGACAGGCACUCAGCAGAACCAAAGUGCCCCGUGCCCGCCAGGGCCACUGUCCCCAAGCCUCAGCUCCCCGAGGCCCUCAGAGUGGUUGGGCCUGUGGGCAGGAGACUGGAGUCAGGGAAGCUGCUGCAGCCAGAUGACCGGAAUCUGAGACCUCCAUCCCACUUCUCUUCACCACGCAGACAAGCCCACCUCGGUGCCCAAGCCAAAGCGGAAGCCUGAGUGCCAAGGCCCGGGGCUGCCUUGCACCUUCCCAGGGGACGAGGGCUGGCGGCCCACCUGUCGGGAGUCGCCUGCCUUUAUCAGCAGGACGUUGGUCAUCUUGGCGAAGGAGAGUACAACCUCCCAGGUGACAGGCGCAAGGAAAACAGAAGCAGAGGACCCGGGAUGGGAUCCCUUCAGCCCGUCUGAGGAAGGGGAGGAGGCCCGGAGAGGAGACCCCCGUCCCACUGGAGGCUGCCCAGCCGCCAGGGCAGGCCCUCCCCUCAGCGCACACGCCGCUUCCUCCCCAGGCAGCUUGGAAACAAGAUAAAUACACGCCGACAAAAUACAAAGUGAGACACGAAUGAUGAUAUAACUAAACUCUGAAACGAAGCGUCCUCUGCAGAGGAUAUACUGAGCAUUUUUUGAAUUGGGAAUUUCUUACAAAGACAUUUAAACACUGUGGGUGGCCACAGGGGCACUGACCUCAGACAACUCCUCACACAGGAGCCACGACCAAACCAGCUUCGAGGACUUUCUGUAGUCCUUUCUAGCAUUUUCCCGUCUACGAUCUCAUUUUUAUUCUCACCAGAAGUCCUCACAGGAGGACAGCCAAAUGGGACUGCUGACCUCUCCUCCUCCUCUGCACUCAGCCGGCCUUCCCGGGAUGUCAAGUCUGCCCCACUGCCCAGGGAGGGAGCAAGCUGGGUCUCAUCCUACCUGUGGCCCUUCCUCUAGCCAGUGUCCCCAGGGCAUGAGCCACGAAAGGGCUUCAUGUUAUUUAGACUCAUCUCAAUGUUCUUACUUCAAAUGAUUUCUGGACAACUCCAUGACAAUGGCAUUAUCUUUAAUCUCACUUUUGCAGAAAACUGAACUGAAGACCAGUCAGGCAGAGUGCCAACAUCACACGGUGAGGAGGUGGGAAAGCCGGGUCUCACUGUUGCCCAGAAAAUGCUGGAGGAAGCAAUGGAUGCAAAUCCCAGGUCCAAGCUCACCAGCAGGACUUGCCUCUGGUGCAGGCUUCAGACCCAGGAGUCGGUCCCAGGGAGAGGCGCGCGCACAGGACGGUGGGUGUGUGCAAGGAUCUCCGGCCUCGGUCCUCACUGGCAAGGAAAGGCACCUGCUGCUCGGGGCUGACCCAAUGCUCACCCAGUGCCUUUCUGUGUGGUUUUAAAGAUCAGGCUUGGGUAUGGGGUUUUUUUUGGAGUGAUGAACACGUUUUGGAACUAGAGGUGGUUGCCUGCACAGCAUCGGGAAGGUACUCGGUGGCACCCUUUCAUAUGGUUAACUCGACGUUAUAAGAAUUUCACCUCCAUAAAAGGAAAAAAGGGAAAAAAAGCAAACAUGGAAGGUUCUAAAACCUUCUUUAGCUGAGAACACAAUUUAUCAUGAUGUCGUUUUUAAAAUUAUUUUUAAAAGAAACACCCAAAGGAUGGAGGUUUGGGUGGUCUCUUCUAGACUUCUCCCUAUCUUCAGACUUUUAUCCAACAACAACAGUCCGACAGGAGACAGCCCAGGCGCCUCGCCUUGUAGGCGCAGGCACCGGGCAAAACACCCUCUACAUUCGGCCCCCACAGUCACCACAUGACGCAGGCGUCCAGACUCAAAGAUCUGCUUCUUAGCUGCUAUUCUUAACAGCUAUCUAUGAGAAUAAGGUGUUACUUCUAUAAUCAGGAUAACAUGGUGAGGACGCUCUCAAAACACCGAAGAAGAACAAAAAAAGACUUGCAGGAAUAAUCCUCUAUCGGUAUUUUUUUCUUGAUACUUGUCUGCGUUUACCAAAUACCGUACAACGUGUGCUAAAAAAUACAAACAAGAAAACCUCUCCCAAGCCUCAGCCUACCUGGCUGUGACUUGAGCCAAACGAGUAAGCAGCAGGAAAGAGCUCACAGGAUGCCACUACCUCUGUGGGACCUCCGCCCCGCCCCUGGGGUUUCCAAACAGGCAUUUUUAGAGGGGCAGCAGGGUUCCAUAUCAAAGAAGCAUUUUCUCAGUAAACAAGGGAAUUUAACUGCCUAAGUGCAUUCUCGUUCAUUGCCGGGAGGAGUAUAAAUUCUUUGCACCUCUACGAGAGAUGAUGCGGUAAUAUUUCUCAACAAUGUAUGUGCGUGGUUUCUCAAAAAAUGAGAACUACUACCUAGACCUACCACAUGACCCAGCAAUUCUACAUCUGCGUAUAUACCCCGAAGAAUCGAGAGCAGAGUCAAACAGGUCCCUGUCUACCCGUGUUCACAGCAGCACGAUUCACCACAGCUGGGAGGUGGACACAACCCAAGUGUGCAUCCACAAAUGCAGGCAAUGGAGUAUUAUUGCACCUUGAAAAGGAAGUCCCGCCACGUGCUGCACCACAGGUGAACUCCGAAGACAUUGUGCGAAGCACAAGAAGCCAGCUGCAGAAGGACGUGAUUCCACUGACAUGAGGUUCCAAGGAAAGGGAAACUCAGAGAUAGAAAGUAGGGUGGUGGCGGCCAGGGCCAGAGGAAAGGAGAAUGGGGGGCUAGUGUUUCGUGGCCACAGAGUUUCAGUCUGAGAUGAUGAAAAAAUCCUGGAAAUGAACAGUGGUGAAGGUUGCACACGAUACCGUGAACUGAAUGACACUGAACCGUACACUUAGGAGCCCAGUUAAAGAAACGUUACUUCUCGAUCGCGGAAUACAAUACAGUCGUUAACAAAGGAUGAGGCGGUAUCAUGUCACCUUAGAGCCGUCUCAAAGACAGCAGGUGAAAGAUCUGGGGCAGAAGAGAGGGUAUACUACCUGCAUACGUGUGCAAAGUCUGUGUCCCAGAUUUGGAAGUAACUGGAAUCCUGAAAGUGUCCCAAGACAUGACAGUGGUGGUCUGAGGGGCGGCCAAGUGGACGGCCAUGCAGGGAACCUUACUUUCCACGGUAUAACCUUUUCACACCUUCAUAAUUUUAUACCACGUACACUGUAAGCUACUUAAAAAUUAACUUCAAGA